CGAACGGGUGAGUAAUGCGUGACCAACCUGCCCCAUGCUCCAGAAUAGCUCUUGGAAACGGGUGGUAACGCUGGAUGCUCCAACUUGACGCAUGUCUUGUUGGGAAAGUGUUUAGUGGCAUGGGAUGGGGUCGCGUCCUAUCAGCUUGUAGGCGGGGUAAUGGCCCACCUAGGCUUCGACGGGUAGCCGGCCUGAGAGGGCGGACGGCCACAUUGGGACUGAGAUACGGCCCAGACUCCUACGGGAGGCAGCAGGC
rnacentral:rRNA from 1 species